rnacentral:rRNA from 1 species
AGAGACCGGCGCACGGGUGCGUAACGCGUAUGCAAUCUACCUUUUACAGAGGGAUAGCCCAGAGAAAUUUGGAUUAAUACCUCAUAGCAUAGCAGGAUGGCAUCAUUCCACUAUUAAAGUCACAACGGUAAAAGAUGAGCAUGCGUCCCAUUAGCUAGUUGGUAAGGUAACGGCUUACCAAGGCUACGAUGGGUAGGGGUCCUGAGAGGGAGAUCCCCCACACUGGUACUGAGACACGGACCAGACUCCUACGGGAGGCAGCAGUGAGGAAUAUUGGACAAUGGGCGCAAGCCUGAUCCAGCCAUGCCGCGUGCAGGAUGACGGUCCUAUGGAUUGUAAACUGCUUUUAUACGAGAAGAAACACUGCUUCGUGAAGCAGCUUGACGGUAUCGUAAGAAUAAGGAUCGGCUAACUCCGUGCCAGCAGCCGCGGUAAUACGGAGGAUCCAAGCGUUAUCCGGAAUCAUUGGGUUUAAAGGGUCCGUAGGCGGUUUAAUAAGUCAGUGGUGAAAGCCCAUCGCUCAACGGUGGAACGGCCAUUGAUACUGUUAGACUUGAAUUAUUAGGAAGUAACUAGAAUAUGUAGUGUAGCGGUGAAAUGCUUAGAGAUUACAUGGAAUACCAAUUGCGAAGGCAGGUUACUACUAAUGGAUUGACGCUGAUGGACGAAAGCGUGGGUAGCGAACAGGAUUAGAUACCCUGGUAGUCCACGCCGUAAACGAUGGAUACUAGCUGUUGGAAGCAAUUUCAGUGGCUA